GAUGAACGCUGGCGGCGUGCCUAAUACAUGCAAGUCGAGCGAACAGACGAGGAGCUUGCUCCUCUGACGUUAGCGGCGGACGGGUGAGUAACACGUGGAUAACCUACCUAUAAGACCGGGAUAACUUCGGGAAACCGGAGCUAAUACCGGAUAAUAUAUUGAACCGCAUGGUUCAAUAGUGAAAGACGGUUUUGCUGUCACUUAUAGAUGGAUCCGCGCCGCAUUAGCUAGUUGGUAAGGUAACGGCUUACCAAGGCGACGAUGCGUAGCCGACCUGAGAGGGUGAUCGGCCACACUGGAACUGAGACACGGUCCAGACUCCUACGGGAGGCAGCAGUAGGGAAUCUUCCGCAAUGGGCGAAAGCCUGACGGAGCAACGCCGCGUGAGUGAUGAAGGUCUUCGGAUCAUAAAACUCUGUUAUUAGGGAAGAACAAAUGUGUAAGUAACUAUGCACGUCUUGACGGUACCUAAUCAGAAAGCCACGGCUAACUACGUG
rnacentral:rRNA from 1 species